rnacentral:rRNA from 1 species
CCGUAGGUGAACCUGCGGAAGGAUCAUUAUU